GCUGGGGGCGGUGGUGCAUGCCUGUAAUCCCAGCAGCCCAGGAGGCUGAGGCAGGAGGAUUGCGAGUUCAAAGUCAGCCUCAGUCACGGUGAGGCGCCAAGCAACUCAGUGAGACCCUGUCUCUA
rnacentral:sRNA from 1 species